UUGAGGGCAAGUCUGGUGCCAGCAGCCGCGGUAAUUCCAGCUCCAAUAGCGUAUAUUAAAGUUGCUGCAGUUAAAAAGCUCGUAGUUGAAUUUCGGGACCAAUAUGUCGGUCGUGCCUCGGUACGUACUGGCAUCGUUGGUUUCUCCCUUCUGACGAACCAUGAUGUCAUUUAUUUGGUGUCGUGGGGAAUCAGGACUGUUACUUUGAAAAAAUUAGAGUGUUUAAAGCAGGCUCACGCUUGAAUACAUUAGCAUGGAAUAAUGAAAUAGGACGUUUGAUUCUAUUUUGUUGGUUUCUAGGAUCGACGUAAUGAUUAAUAGGGAUAGUUGGGGGCAUUAGUAUUCAAUUGUCAGAGGUGAAAUUCUUGGAUUUAUUGAAGACUAACUACUGCGAAAGCAUUUGCCAAGGAUGUUUUCAUUAAUCAAGAACGAAAGUUAGGGGAUCGAAGACGAUCAGAUACCGUCGUAGUCUUAACCAUAAACUAUGCCGACUAGGGAUCGGAUGAUGUUAAUUUUUUAAUGACUCAUUCGGCACCUUACGGGAAAC
rnacentral:rRNA from 1 species